CGUGAAUCUGUGCGUGUCUUGACCAGAGACAAAAUUAGUUUUUUUUUUUAAUUUUAUAUUUCUCUUGUUUUCAUGUAUAGUGUUGUGGAUUUUUUUUUAAUCUGGAGAAUCGGAAGCGAAGCAAUCACGGCGACGCCCGGACGCGACGCCGGACUGAUCGCUACUCGAUCGUUGCAAUUUAUGAUGGUUUAACAAAAUCAAACAAGAUGGCGGACGAUAGCGUUGAAUAUAGACUGCAGUUUUACGAUUUCCACAUGUUACCGUAAUGCCGUCUUCUCGAUCGCUGACUGCUUCGCUGGAAAAGAAGCAGAACAUCGCAGAAGCGUAAGCGUUUUAAUUCUUCGCUUGCUGCCGCGCCGCCAAGCUUCUGCUCAGCUUAUAUGCAAUCAUAUUUCUAUACGUGAUUUUCUUUUCGGUGUUAUCAAGUGGAAUGUAACACACGUUAUAUAUUACUUGGCAAACACAAUAAUAAAAUAAAUAUCGAUUAAACUUGAAUCUACCUCUAUUCACCUAAAAUAUAUAAUAUUAUCCUUACAUAAUAAGUACCCCGUUGCGUUUGUCUGUAUGAACGCGAUAAACUCAAAAACUACCGAGAUUCCUGAGAAUUGUUUUGGUAUUUAAUUUUAAUUAUUUUACCCGAGUGAAGCAGGGACGCUGGUAUUUUAUGUUUGGGGGUAAUUUAUGUUAAUAAACUUAGUAUAGAAUCUUCAAGAGGAAUGAAACUAUCUAGGAAAUGACUCCAAUAGUAUUGAAAAAUACCCCUUUUUAUAACGUUUACGUUAGAUUGUUAUACAUUUCUGAUUUACUUUUAAAUAAUAAGAUUUAUUAAAAAAAAGAAAAUGUAGACAUGCAACGAAAUUGUAAAUUCAUUCAUUAAAUAUUUGAUAAUAGAUCUACGUGUCAAAUUUGA